rnacentral:misc_RNA from 1 species
CGGCAUGAAGGCUAUAAAUAGGGGAUUUUAGCCUUCAUUUGGGCAUCCAAUGGUCUCAACAAGCACCCAAGCCAUACCAAAGCUCUUUAUAGUGUUCUUGUAUAUUUAGCCCACUUUAUUACUCUAUUGUAAGUCUUAGGUUUGUAAAGCAAUUUUCAUUAAGUAGUAAAGUUACUUUCUCUUUGCCAAACUCUUUUCAAGUAUGUUCCUUGUUCC